rnacentral:rRNA from 1 species
UUGGAGGGCAAGUCUGGUGCCAGCAGCCGCGGUAAUUCCAGCUCCAAUAGCGUAUAUUAAAGUUGUUGCAGUUAAAAAGCUCGUAGUUGAACUUCGGGGUCUACCCAUUGGUCAGGCUUAAUUGUCUGCACUGGUGAGAUGGAUCUCUACCUUCUGAGGAACUUUCAUGCCAUUUAUUUGGUGUGAUGGGAAACCAGGACUGUUACUUUGAAAAAAUUAGAGUGUUUAAAGCAGACUAUCGUCUGAAUACAUUAGCAUGGAAUAAUGAAAUAGGACGGACUGAUUCUAUUUCGUUGGUUUCUAGGAUCACCGUAAUGAUUAAUAGGGAUAGUUGGGGGCAUUAGUAUUCAAUUGUCAGAGGUGAAAUUCUUGGAUUUAUUGAAGACUAACUACUGCGAAAGCAUUUGCCAAGGAUGUUUUCAUUAAUCAAGAACGAAAGUUAGGGGAUCGAAGACGAUCAGAUACCGUCGUAGUCUUAACCAUAAACUAUGCCGACUAGGGAUCGGACGAAGUUAAUUUUAUAAUGACGCGUUCGGCACCUUACGGGAAAC